rnacentral:tRNA from 1 species
AAUUUAGUGGCAGAAAUAAAGUGCAUUGAAUUUAAGCUUCAAAAAUGAGGGUUACUCCUAAAUUC